rnacentral:rRNA from 1 species
GCACGAGUUCAUACUCGUGGCGAAAAGCUCAGUAACACGUGGCCAAACUACCCUACAGAGAACGAUAACCUCGGGAAACUGAGGCUAAUAGUUCAUACGGGAGUCAUGCUGGAAUGCCGACUCCCCGAAACGCUCAGGCGCUGUAGGAUGUGGCUGCGGCCGAUUAGGUAGACGGUGGGGUAACGGCCCACCGUGCCGAUAAUCGGUACGGGUUGUGAGAGCAAGAGCCCGGAGACGGAAUCUGAGACAAGAUUCCGGGCCCUACGGGGCGCAGCAGGCGCGAAACCUUUACACUGCACGCAAGUGCGAUAAGGGGACCCCAAGUGCGAGGGCAUAUAGUCCUCGCUUUUCUCGACUGUAAGGCGGUCGAGGAAUAAGAGCUGGGCAAGACCGGUGCCAGCCGCCGCGGUAAUACCGGCAGCUCAAGUGAUGACCGAUAUUAUUGGGCCUAAAGCGUCCGUAGCCGGCCACGAAGGUUCAUCGGGAAAUCCGCCAGCUCAACUGGCGGGCGUCCGGUGAAAACCACGUGGCUUGGGACCGGAAGGCUCGAGGGGUACGUCCGGGGUAGGAGUGAAAUCCCGUAAUCCUGGACGGACCACCGAUGGCGAAAGCACCUCGAGAAGACGGAUCCGACGGUGAGGGACGAAAGCUAGGGUCUCGAACCGGAUUAGAUACCCGGGUAGUCCUAGCUGUAAACGAUGCUCGCUAGGUGUGACACAGGCUACGAGCCUGUGCUGUGCCGUAGGGAAGCCGAGAAGCGAGCCGCCUGGGAAGUACGUCCGCAAGGAUGAAACUUAAAGGAAUUGGCGGGGGAGCACUACAACCGGAGGAGCCUGCGGUUUAAUUGGACUCAACGCCGGACAUCUCACCAGCUCCGACUACAGUGAUGACGAUCAGGUUGAUGACCUUAUCACGACGCUGUAGAGAGGAGGUGCAUGGCCGCCGUCAGCUCGUACCGUGAGGCGUCCUGUUAAGUCAGGCAACGAGCGAGACCCGCACUUCUAAUUGCCAGCAGCAGU